rnacentral:lncRNA from 1 species
UUUGUUUAGUUCGGAAUAGUUCGAUCCGGUUUUUUCCAUGUCACGUCGUCACUCGUCACUUUUAUACUUGUUAGCUAUUGUUAGUAAUAAUCACUUAAUCAGAUUGAUGAACCAAAGUGAAGUCAAGUAACAAAUGAAAGGUUUUCAAUAGCAUGCUGCUGUAUCCUGUAGCCUUGUAUCCUGUAUCCUAUGCCUUUGUAGCAGUCUGUUUUCUUUAGUUAGAAAGAAUGUGGCUAAAUGGAUUGGACUAAAUCAACGAUGUCCUCAAUUUCAAGGUGGUGACUUGCAUUUUGGGAAACCAAUACCAACUGUGCUAUAGAAAAGACUGAAGCAACAUCAAGCAUACCAGUAAAGAGGUCAUCUAUCUGGUCGCACAAGACAUGCAACUUUUUGUAUCAACCAGACCAGUCGAACGGAACACACACCAACGAAACACACACACACCACAUACACCAACAAAGACAACACAUAUCUUCUGACUAUAACGUGAGUACCUGCAUUUACUAUAUGCUUUUGUGGGAAAUGUGUUCAUUUCGUUCGUAUCAGGCUCUCUUCAUCACAACAAACCUUAAUCAUUUUGAUUAACUCGUUAAUAGUUCGACAUCAAUAUAGAAGACGUUAUCUUCA